rnacentral:snRNA from 1 species
AUCGCUUCUCGGCCCUUUUGGCUAAGAUCAAGUGUAGUAUCUGUUCUUAUCAGUUUAAUAUCUGAUACGUCCCCUAUCUGGGGACCAUAUAUUAAAUGGAUUUUUGGAACAGGGAGAUGGAAGAAGAGCUUGCUCUGUCCACUCCACGCAUCGACCUGGUAUUGCAGUACCUCCAGGACCGGUGCACCUCUC